GACGAACGCUGGCGGCGUGCCUAAUACAUGCAAGUCGAACGCAGUGGGGACGGUUGAGUAACCCGUGGGUAACCUCCCAUCAGAGGGGAUAACACUUGGAAACAGGUGCUAAACCGACACUGAUUGAUGGACCCGCGGUGCAUUAGCUAGUUGGUGGGGUAACGGCUCACCAAGGCCACGAUGCAUAGCCGACCUGAGAGGGUGAUCGGCAAAACUGGGACUGAGACACGGCCCAGACUCCUACGGGAGGCAGCAGUAGGGAAUCUUCGGCAAUGGACGAAAGUCGGACCGAGCAACGCCGCGUGAGUGAAGAAGGUUUUCGGAUCGUAAAACUCUGUUGUUAGAGAAGCGGUAUCUAACCAGAAAGCCACGGCUAACUACGUGCCAGCAGCCGCGGUAAUAC
rnacentral:rRNA from 1 species